rnacentral:rRNA from 1 species
GACGAACGCUGGCGGCGUGCUUAACACAUGCAAGUCGAACGGAAAGGCCCUGCUUUUGUGGGGUGUUCGAGUGGCGAACGGGUGAGUAACACGUGAGUAACCUGCCCUUGACUUUGGGAUAACUUCAGGAAACUGGGGCUAAUACCGGAUAGGAGCUCCUGCUGCAUGGUGGGGGUUGGAAAGUUUCGGCGGUUGGGGAUGGACUCGCGGCUUAUCAGCUUGUUGGUGGGGUAGUGGCUUACCAAGGCUUUGACGGGUAGCCGGCCUGAGAGGGGGACCGGCCACAUUGGUACUGAGGUACGCCCCAGACUCCUACGGGAGGCAGCGGGGGAGAGUAUUGCACAGUGGGCGGAAGCCUGAUGCAGCGACGCCGCGUGCGGGAUGACGGCCUUCGGGUUGUAAACCGCUUUCGCCUGUGACGAGGCGUGAGUGACGGUAAUGGGUAAAGAAGCACCGGCUAACUACGUG